AUUUGUUGGAUUGUUCGUUGAGGGGAGGAAUUACAGACUCCAAGCUUUUCUCGUUUAUGGAUUUGGACUAUUAUCAAAUUUUCGAAAUUACAGGAGUUACUUCUGCAUUGAAAAUUUCGUUGGACCUUUCUGCAACCCAGAAGACUCUGCUUUCUUAGUCAUAGCCAAGAGGGGCUUCCUUGGAUUCUGAGAUCAUACCUCAGUUUCAUACGAGUCUGCUAAUCCUCUGUCUGUGAAACUAAAAUUAAGCUAAAAGCAGAUGAGGGAGACAAGAAGUGGAACAAAGAAUGAAAAAAGUUCGAAAUGUACAUCAGCUAACUCGUUCCCCCUUGUUAUGGAUAUUGAUGACUUUAAGGGGGACUUUUCUUUUGAUGCAUUAUUUGGAAAUAUGGUGAAAGUGAUCCUUCCAUCUUUCCAAGAAGAAGCAAUAGAUUCAUCAGAAGGACACAACAACGUCACUGGGGGUGAUUCUUUUUCAAAUGGACAUAGGCGCGCUUCAUCCGAUGCAGCAAAGUAUGCUCAGAAUCUUUCUACUCCCUUGUUCCCAGAUGUUGAGAAGCUCUUAUCUUUGUUCAAUGACUAUUGCAAGGAGCUGGCUGAGCUUCGUAAACAGAUUGAUGGCAGGCUCUACAAUCUUAAGAAAGACGUCUCUGUUCAAGACACUAAGCAUCGUAAGACACUUGCUGAGCUAGAAACAGGAGUAGAUGGUUUGUUUGAUAGCUUUGCAAGGCUGGAUUCGCGUAUUUCAAGUGUUGGUCAGACUGCUGCAAAGAUAGGAGAUCAACUUCAGAGUGCAGAUGCUCAACGGGUUACUGCCAGUCAAACUAUUGAGCUAAUAAAGUACUUGAUGGAGUUCAACAGCAGUCCUGGUGACCUGAUAAAGCUUUCUCCUCUAUUUUCUGAUGACAGCCGUACUGCUGAGGCUGCUUCAGUUGCCCAAAAAUUACGGUCAUUUGCUGAAGAAGAUAUUGGAGGACGUGGCAUAGGUGCCCCAUCAAUGAUAGGGAAUGCAGCUGCAAGCAAAGGAUUAGAAUUUGCUGUUUCUAAUCUACAAGAGUAUUGCAAUGAAUUGGAGAAUAGAUUGUUGGCUCGGUUUGAUGCAGCAUCACAGAAAAGAGAUUUAUCCACGAUGUCUGAAUGUGCCAAAAUUUUGUCACAGUUCAAUAGGGGUACAAGUGCCAUGCAACAUUAUGUAGCAACCCGUCCAAUGUUUAUUGAUGUGGAAGUCAUGAAUGCUGAUACUAGGUUGGUUCUUGGUGAUGAUGGCACACACGCUAGUCCUAGUAAUGUCACUAAAGGGCUUUCAUCAUUGUACGGAGAAAUCACAGAUACUGUUCGCAAAGAAGCAGCAAAAAUCACAGCUGUAUUCCCUUCACCCAACGAGGUUAUGUCAAUUUUAGUUCAGCGAGUUCUAGAGCAGCGAGUCACUGCCCUUUUGGACAAAUUAUUAGUAAGGCCACCUCUUAUAAAUCCACCUUCCGUGGAGGAAGGUGGACUUCUAUUAUAUCUCAGAAUUCUAUCAGUAACAUAUGAAAAGACGCAAGAACUUGCUAGGGAUCUGCAAGCGGUGGGAUGUGGAGACUUGGAUGUUGAGGGCCUCACAGAAUCCUUGUUUUCAAAUCAUAAGGAUGAAUACCCCGACUAUGAGCAGGCAUCUCUUGACCAAUUGUAUCAAGUGAAGCUGGAAGAACUGCAAGCUGAAAGCCAGCAGAUAUCUGAGUCACCUGGAACAAUUGGACGCUCAAAAGGAGCUUCAAUUGCUUCUCCUCUACAGCAAAUAUCUGCCACAAUUGUGUCAGAGUUUGUGCGUUGGAAUGAAGAAGCAAUUUCAAGGUGCAAUCUCUUUUCCUCUCAGCCAGCCAUCCUUGCAACCAAUGUAAAAGCAGUGUUUGCUUGCCUGCUGGACCAAGUCAGUAAAUACAUUGUAGAUGGACUUGAGCGUGCUAGAGAGGGCCUGACUGAUGCUGCUAACUUGAGGGAAAGAUUUUCACUGGGUGUUGGCCGAAGAGUAGCUGCUAGCGCAACUUCCAAUGCAGAGGCUGCAGCUGCGGCUGGUGAAAGCAGUUUCAAAUCGUUUCUGGUUGCUGUACAAUGUUCUGUUGGCAGUGUGGCUAUUAUUCAACAAUAUUUUGCAAACUCCAUAUCUCGGCUUUUGCUUCCUGUGGAUGGAGCACAUGCUGCUUCUUGUGAAGAAAUGGCAAUGACAAUGUCCAAAGCAGAAGCUGCUGCUUACCAGGGAUUACAACAAUGCAUCGAAACUGUAAUGGCUGAGGUGGAACGAUUGCUCUCAGCUGAGCAAAAGGCUACAGAUUAUCGAUCACCUGAUGACGGUAUCGCUCCUGACUACCGGGCAACCAAUGCGUGCACAAGGGUUGUGUCAUAUCUCUCUCGUGUGCUGGAGCCUGCAUUUACUGGCCUAGAAGGUCAAAAUAAACAGGCAUUCCUGACUGAGUUGGGGAAUCGGGUGCACAAGACAUUGCUAAACCAUUGGCAGAAGUUUACUUUUAAUCCAAGUGGGGGAUUGCGGUUGAAGCGUGACAUAACUGAAUAUGGAGAGUUCUUGCGUAAUUUUAAUGCCCCUUCUGUUGAUGAGAAAUUUGAAUCACUGAGCAUAUUAGCCAAUGUCUUCAUUGUUGCUCCCGAAAGCCUUGCAACUUUGUUUGAGGGUACACCUAGCAGUGAUGCACAAAGAUUUAUUCAGCUUAGGGAUGACUACAAGAGUGCCAAACUUGCAUCCAAAUUGAGUUCCUUGUGGAGUUGACAGAAUCCCCUUUGGCUAGGGCACAGGCUCUCAACUUGAACCUAAGUUUCACAAAUAGUUUCAUGCAGAUAAAAUACAAGGAGGCUGGCUAUUCACAGGCCAGUUUAGUACAUUGGAAUAUCUUCCUUUGCUGACUGGAUAUUUGAAGGCAACUCAGAGACUCCUAAAAAUUAUGCAGACUUAGCCAGCCAAAAUAUUAAAAAAAAAAUCUGGAAGACCCCACAUGACAGGAUCCCCAUGUUCUUAUCUGUGGAACGUGAGAGUCAACGCAUGACACUUGAGUCACUCAGCUCUGAAAAAGCCUUCGUGUGUUGUGUGGUGUGGAUUGUGAUGUGGUGUUGACCAAUUCGAGUUCAUCCCUUGGAGCGUUGGGAUUUGUCUUGUCAUCAAACUACUCCAAUCUUGUAUUCAAAAAAAAAAAAAAAAUGCUCCAAUCUUCUUUUAGCCUAAAAAACAGAGAAUGGCAAUAAAGUUCCAGAAGAAGAAAGAAUUAAUUA